GGACCUUUGUUUACAGGUCCCAAAAAAGCCCUGAAAAGCAAGUGUGAAAAAAAAAACAGAUAUUCUAUUAUAGUGCAAAGUGUCAUUGUCUUCCCUCUUGCAAAAGCAGUUGGAGUUUGUUAUUGAUUCAUGAGAAAUGGUGAAUAAGCCUCAAAUGCAAUUUUAAAGAAUGUCCAUUCUGGCUUUUGUAGUUUCCAGCAAGGAAAAUGGGGCAGUUAAGGAAAUGAAAGCCUUUAGAAGCUGUUUUAAAGGAUCAGCAUAAAAAGCUAGAGAAGUUUGUACAGUUAAGGAAGGAAUUCUUCAUCUAUGGUCUGUGAAUAAGCUUCAGAGUGUCUAUGAGUGACCCAUAACAGGAUACAAAUCUAUGGGUACAUGUGUACAUCUUUCUUGGGGAAGGGUCCAUAUUUUUUUCCAAAAAAAGUGCACAAGCUAUAGACUCUAAGCAGUGACCUUUCCUUGCUUAUGCUCAUGAGAUUUUUUUUAAAGAUUUCAUUUAUUUAUUUGAGAGAUAGAGAACAUGUGUGAGAGACAGAGCAUGAGCAGAGGGAGAAGCAGUCUCCCCACUGAGCAGGGAGCCUGAUAUAGGACUCGAUCCCAGGACCCUGAGAUCAUGACCUGAGCUGAAGGCAGACACUUAAUUGAGCUACCUAGGCACACCGCUCAUGAGAUUUAAAGACAGCCCCAAGUCUAAGCUCCGGAGGCACUGAGAGAUUAGGAUGUAGAGGUGCCCCCGGGAUGUGGGUGCAUGUAGGGGAUAGUAGGUCUAUAUGAUUAUUACUUGAGUCAGUCCUUGAUCUAGCUUUUUGAAUACAUAUUUGAGUCCUGUGUGGGGAAAGACUUUAAGUGAAAACAAAGAAAGUAUGUGGUAUAGUCCUUAAUUUUUUAUGAACCUUGGGAGAGGAAUGGGAAAGGCACAGUAGGUAUUUACCAGGAUAGUGGUUUCUUUUCCUACUGAAAACUCCCUUUUUCCCUCUUGGACAAUAUACAAAACAAGCUAGACUGGCACAUCUCCUUGUUAAAUAGAGCAGUUAAACCAAUAGUAAUGGAACCCCCAUGCUUUCAGACAGACCAGUGGAAACAUUAGCCAGUUCAAGGGAAAAACAAAACUUGCAUGCCAGAUGGUCCCUGGCUACUGGACUGUAGAGGAUGGUGGUACAGGAUUCUCUCUGAUCUGUGUACUAUCACUAUGGCCAGGAGCAUAGAGGGCUGAUUGGCUUGGGCUGGGGUUUUGUGCAGUUCUCUAUACCUGUCAUUGUAGCCAGAGGAAUUGGGAUCCCUUGACAGGUGUAAGCAAUUGGGACCCUCUUUUGUAUAUUCAGGUGGCAUUAGUCUUGCACAAACCGUGGGAUUGAGAAUGGGGAAGAGGUCUCUCAAAGGGAAUUUGGCCUGCACUGACCAGAAUGACCACAGAUGCUAGGCUGCAAACAAUGAGGGUUUUACAGCUGCUCUAGGUCCUCUCCAGAAAAGGGUACAAAGGAAUCUACGUGGUGCAGGUUCACAGUGUUAGCACCAGGAGCCUUUCUGGUAGGGCAGAAAUGGUGUAGCGGUGUCUUCUGGCCAGGAAUGUUAUUGCCGUGGGAUUAAUAGCAGUGUCUAUGAUGACAGGCAGAGUGACAGGGACUGUCUUGGCUUCAACUAGCAACCAGAGCAACUUCAGAGCUGUGCAGAGCACUGAUGGCGUCAGGGGCAGUGUUGGCAGCAGGGCACCUCCAAGGACAUUGCAGAUUUGUGAGGAGGCCCUAGGAUCCUUGAAGAGCUCUGUGGUCCCUCUUCUCUGAAAUACAUUGAGAGCCCAAGAACUGCUGUCAACAGACUAGGAUCCCCUAAGCAGUGGGGAUGAUUGGAUUCUGGGGUGGCAGGGGUGAGGUGGCUGUACUCACUACCAAAGCUAGGUGGGGUUGGUUACCAUUGAAGGACAGUCUGACCCCAAGGGACCCGUGGCUCUGGCUGGCUGAGGAUGGUGUCCCUAAAAGACAAUGAGAUGAGAACCUGCUAAAUUUUUACUUGAAUGUUGUAAGUAGGAAAGGUAUUGUUUGAGUCUAACUUGAAUCACUGAAAUGAGUCUUGGCCCCUCAAUCAACUCCCAGACGUGAGCCAGUUCCCAGCCCCAGGACUGCUUGAGGAAGGACGCUGGUCCACUGCCAAAAGUUCGUACUGUGAAUGUUCUUCUCAGCCUUCCUCAAAGGGACAUUAGCCCCUUACCCGGUGGCAAAGUCAACAGACCCUGUUGGGAUUAGGAGACACUGGCUCUGAACUGACCCCAGUUCUGGGAUCCAGGAUGGCGCUGUGGCCCAAUGGUGAGGGUAGGGGCUCCUGAGGUCUGGUGAUCACUGGAGUCUAAGCUCAGGUUGGCUUCCCAUGGGGCCCAGUGGCCCCCCGCCCCCCAAGCCUAUCUGGUGGUGAUGUCCCUGGUUCUGGAAUGAAUAAUUGGAAUAUCCCAACCCAGCAGCUUCUGAGUUCCUGCGUGGGUCCUGGGACCUGUGGAGUGAGGGCUGUUACUUUGGGAAAGGCCACUUGGAAGCCACUAGAACCACCUCCAUAAGGAAAACAGACCAGAAGCAGUUCCAAGCUUCCGAGGGCUGCAGAGAUGAGCACCACCAUCAAGGACUCGAAGGAGGCCAGGGUGGCCAUGGCUGCCCUAUCCCCAUUCAGCUGGCCUUUCUGUGGUGCAGAAAACAGACGGAUCUCCAGGAGCAAUGGGGGAUGAUCGGAAGCCCACCCAGUUGGUGGUGGAUGGCAACUGCUUUUUCAGAUACGGCUUAAUUGCUUGGGCCAGUUAUCAUGUCCCCUGGUACCUGGUGUGCAGCUGGAUGGGUUACCAGAAUACAUUCCAACUCAUUUUACUUUUUAUUCGAUGGAUACUGUAUUACUUGAGUAGUUAAAAAUAUUUAGUAAAAAAAAAAAUAUAUAUAUUUAGUGACUUCGUGCUUUUAAUAAUGAGGAGCACGCUGUGCUUUGGAUUCCUGAGCUGCACUUAAAUACAGAGCUUGGUUCUUUGACAUCAAGCUUGUGACUGACUUAGCAGC
rnacentral:lncRNA from 1 species